GCUGGACAGCUCAGUUGGUUAGAUCAUGGCGCUGAUAAGGCCAAGGUGGCAGGUUCGAACCCUGUAUGGGACAGCU